UACAGAGGUGGCAAGCGUUGUUCGGAAUUACUGGGCGUAAAGGGCUCGUAGGCGGCCAACUAAGUCAGACGUGAAAUCCCUCGGCUUAACCGGGGAACUGCAUCUGAUACUGGAUGGCUUGAGAUUGGGAGAGGGAUGCGGAAUUCCAGGUGUAGCGGUGAAAUGCGUAGAUAUCUGGAGGAACACCGGUGGCGAAGGCGGCAUCCUGGACCGGCAUUGACGCUGAGGCGCGAAAGCUAGGGGAGCAAACGGG
rnacentral:rRNA from 1 species